UGGCAAGCCAUCCCGGGAUAUACAAAACAGCGUAAUGAGUCCCUCCCCAAUCCCAAAAGGUUGAAUUCGGAUACCGUUACAUGUUCAAUUCCCAAUAAUGAAUGAAUCGUCCCAAAGGUAGGAUUCGGAUACCGUUGCAUGUCCGGUACCCAACAAUGAAUGAAUCGUCCCUGUCCCUCCCCUUUUGCAACAAAACCCUCUGGCAUCUUUGGCCCCCGGUCGUACGGUAGCCUUGUACACUAUCGACAGUGUGUGUCAUCCCGUGGUGCGGGGCCAUCGGGCACUACCGGCCCCUUUGAUGUGUCGGAGCAUCGGGCAGCAUCGGUACCUUGGUGCAUCGGAUGUGCGGGAGGGUCGAGCACUAAAUCUAAUUUUUGGCCCCCGUUGGUGCAGAAGCGUCGGCACCAUAAAGUGUCCCUGUUUCAGACACAUGAAUGUCGCCUGGUAGCACAUUGACCAAGUUUUGUUAGCUCUUUAGGGGGAAGGUGAUAUUGAGGCGAACAGGGGUUGUCCAGGGCACUACUCACGCCCGUUUCAUGCCCAGACGUUGGUGCCCCCCAUCACCGGUUAGGUUCCCGACGGUGCUCCGAUGAUCUAUUUCGGCGGUGCUUCGGCGAACCAUCCCGGCGGUGCUCCCGCGAGGUACCUCGAAAUAUAAAAAACGAUGCUACAAGUCGUCUCGGUCCCUCCCCUUUUGAAUCAUCCCGGUCACUCCCCUUUUGGAACAAGAGCCUCCGGCACAUUGGGCCUUUGGUCGUACCGGAGUAUCAGGUACCCUUGGUAACCUAUGAUGUCGAUGGUGUGGGAGCAUCGGCACAUUACUUCUUGGACGUACUGGAGCCUUGGAUGCCAUCGGCAACCUAGGAUGUCGGUCGUGCGGGAGCCUCAGGCACCAUCGACACCUAGCCCCUUAGUCAUCCGGGAGCCUCUGGCACCAUCGGCACCUUGGUGCUUGGAUGUGCGGGAGCUUCGGUCACCAUCGGCAACCUAGGCCCUUGGUCGUGCGGGAGCCUCGAUACCAUCGGCAACCUAGGCCCUUGGUUGUGCGGGAGCCUCAGGCAAAGUCGGCAAAAUAGAUCCGUAACCUCGGAAAAAGGAUUGGCUCUGAGGGCUGGGCACAGGGGUCCUAGUCUCGAACCUAUUGGCUACAGGUGCACUGCUCGAGCUGCUUCUGCAGCGAGAGCGGGUCGCCGCGUGCCGGCCAAGGGACGGACUGGGAGCGGCUCCUUCGGGGGCCUUCCCCGGGCGAUGAACAGUCAACUCAGAACUGGUACGAACAAGGGGAAUCCGACUGUUUAAUUAAAACAAAGCAUUGCAAUGGUCCUUGCGGAUGCUCACGCAAUGUGAUUUUUGCCCAGUGCUCUGAAUAUCAAAGUGAAGAAAUUCAACCAAGCGCAGGUAAACGGCGGGAGUAACUAUGACUCUCUUAAGAUGGCCAAAUGCCUCGUUAUCUAAUUAUUGACGCGCAUGAAUGGAUUAACGAGAUUCCCACUAUCGCUGUCUACUAUUCAACGAAACCAAAGCCAAGGGACUGGGCUUGGCAGAAUCGGCGGGGAAAGAAGACCCUGUUGAGCUUGACUCUAGUCCGACUUUGAGAAAUGACUUAAGAGGUGUAGGAUAAGUGGGAGCUCUCAAGCGAAAUUGAAAUACCACUACUUUUAACAUUAUUUUACUUAUUCCGUGAGUCAGAGGGGGCACGGCCCCUCUUUUUGGACCCAAGGUCGGCUUCGACCGGCCGAUCGAGGCUGAAGACAUUGUCAGGUGGGGAGUUUGGCUGGGGUGACACAUUUGUUAAAAGAUAACACAGGUGUCCUAAGAUGAGCUCCACGAGAACAGAAAUCUUAUGUGGAACAAAAGGGUAAAAGCUCGUUUGAUUCUGAUUUCUAGUACGAAUACGAACCGUGAAAGCGUGGCCUAUCGAUCCUUUAGACCUUCGGAAUUUGAAGCUAGAGGUGUCAGAAAAGUUACCACAGGGAUAACUGGCUUGUGGCAGCCAAGCGUUCAUAGCGACUUUACUUUUUGAUCCUUCGAUGUCGGCUCUUCCUAUCAUUGAAGCAGAAUUCACCAAGUGUUGGAUUGUUCAACCACAAAUAGGAAACGUAAGCUAGGUUUAGACCAUCGUGAGACAGGUUAGUUUUACCCUACUGAUGGCCGCGUCGCAAUAGUAAUUCAACCUAGUACGAGAGGAUCCGUUGAUUCGCACAAUUGGUCACCGCGCUUGGUUGAAAAGCCAGUGGCGAGAAGCUACCCUGCGCUAGAUUAUGACUGAACGCCUCUAAGUUAAAAUCAGGGCUAGAAGCGACGCACGCGCCUGUCGCCCGAUUCCCGACCCUCAGUAAUGGCCUUUGGCCCCCAAGGGUACGUGUCGUAGGUGCAACGACUGUGGCAGACAAGUCGCGGGUGCCUCCUUGGAGCAUAAUUUCCACAGAGCGACGGGUAGAAUUCUUUUGCAGAAGACUUAAAAAUGCGAUGGGGUAUUGUAAGUGGCAGAGCGGCCUUGCUACCACGAUCUACUGAGAUUCAGCCCUUUGUCGCUUCGAUUCGUCCCUCCCCUAUCU
rnacentral:rRNA from 1 species